rnacentral:misc_RNA from 1 species
UUAAAAAAAAAAAGGAACUUUUUGAAGAAUUUAAUUGAAUUAGGUGCGAAAAGUAUUAUUGGGUUUUCAAUCGCCAUGCUGUGAGUUAAUUUCCUUGCUGGUGGGAUGUUAGGGCAAUUGAAGUUUCUUAACUAUUCAAUUCCAAUUUCAUGUGCAUUUAUUGGAGAAUUAAACGGAGCUUAAUGUUAGUUUUGGAAAUUAUAGAACUGGAAUGGGAAUGAAAAUGGAUGUCACGAAGCUACUAUCUGGAAUUCUGGAUUUGUUUUUCCCAAUUAUGAAGCUUCUGCAAAUAUUUUGUUUUACAUAAUUCCCAGAUUUUGCUUCUCUUAUUAUCUUCAUACUUGUCUCUAUCUAAUUUUUAUAUUGUAGUUGCAUCACUGCGAAAAGAAGGGUCCAAUUCAAACUAAUUUUUGCAGGAAAAGAUCAUGAGAG